rnacentral:lncRNA from 1 species
UUAUUUUUGGGUUUUGAUUACGCUUCCCCCGGAGAUCUCUUCUGAUAUGAAGAAUAUGGAAACUCCUUCUCCUUGCGCAGGUUUUUAAGCCAAUUUGAGCUGAAUAUCAUUUUCAAUUUCAUGUUUUAAUAUAUGUAUUUAUGGAUCCAUUUUCUAAUAUUAAACUUUCAGGUAAGACCGAAUGGUCACAGGGUCUCCCACCAUCCAUAUUGAGUAUUGCUGAUGAUGAGAAGGGUGUGAAAGUUGACAAUCUUGAUCUUAUUUUUGUCCCUCAAUAUGGGAAAAAUCUCAACUACAUUUGUUAAUAAGUGAGUGCAAAAUUACUUUUCUCUAUUAUGUUUAAUAAAAGGAUGGGUAUUGUUAUUAUGUAUUACUUAAUAAUGUGACUGUCAUUUUAGUUUAAUUCAACCAUUAAGAU